UCCCAAGCCGAUCCUCUUUCCCAGGCUUUUUGUCUUGUGACCUGACCUUUGCUGCUAUUUUUCCUCAACCAAAAGAACAAAGCCAUCUCGACUGCUGGUGGGAGAGAGCCCCACAGAGAUAGAUAGAGAGGCUGCUGAGCAGUGCCUGGUACCCCAGGCUAAUCUGAAUGUGUCACUGUGUCUGUGUAAACAAAGUUAGCAUGAACGCUGCUUCAUCAGUAAACUAGAUCUCAGGAAUUCGGGAAGGGUAAGGGAUUUCAAUGCCUUGGCUAAAAAAUGUGACUCUUAAUAACGUAAUUGGUUUUUUGUUGUUGUUGUUGUUGUUGCUGUUUUUGGGUUUUUUUGUUUUUUUGUUUUUUGGUUUUUUUUUUCCGUAAUUUGUAUUUUUUUUUAUCUUUCUCAGCACGCUCAUGCGCACUCAUCUGGCUACUUCAUAACUCAAGACUCUGCGUUUGGGAAUCUUAUUCUCCCCGUUUUGCCUCGCCUUGACCCCGAAUGAAGAAAGUGUGAUAAAAGGACCUUGUAAUAUCAAAUGUCAAAGUUCUCACUCAGCUCUAUACAAACUCUGACUUUCAGGACUUUGGAGAACCUAGCUUUUGUUUCUUUAAAGAAAGGAAUAAGUGAGAGUGGGAAGAGAAGAGGAGCUGGGACGCUGAGGCCUUGGGAAGUGGAAGCAGCAGCAGUGGAGGAGGACCUGGCUGUGCUGGCCAAGACUGACUUCUUUGUAUUGCCAUCGGACUUUCCCUCCGACUCAGAGUCGCUUGGUCUCUUGUGAAAUCUGCAUCACCUCCAACAACUGGGACUGGAUAUCAUGUGGGAAGCCCUGGGUUUGCCCCCAUCACCACACAGACAAGCUCUGACAGCACACGCCUGUGACCUCAGCACUAGAGGAAUAGAGGCAGAAGAA
rnacentral:lncRNA from 1 species